GUUUGAAAAGAAGUUUGAGUUUUAGGUGGUAGAGUUGGACAGCAGUACCUUCAAUGCACUGGGAACUAACGUGCUCUCCCCCUCUCUCUCUUCUCUCUUAAUCAGGGCCCAGGUCUUGUGUCCACAUCUGUCCAAGCUCCUACUCUGAUUGAACAGUUGGAUGAUCAGACUGAUGAUGAAAAGUGCUACACAGUUCUCACACAUCUUCUACCUCCGAAGCCGCUGCAGUGUAAAAUCUGAGAUGUCUUUUCUGGUUGAUUUUGUGCAGAUUUCUGACAGCGAUGGUGAGGGAAGCAGUGUACCGAACUCUCAGAUGACUCGGACCAGGUGACCAAACCCAUGCA